rnacentral:rRNA from 1 species
CGAAAGCUAGUUGUAUUAUUAGUUAAUGCAAGAUCGACUACGUCGACUAAAGUUCUAGGUAGAAUAAUGAUGAUGACAAUUUUUUACCUAUAUGUCUUGACCAAGUCUCGUGCCAGCAGUCGCGGUAAUACGUGGAAGACUAGUGUUAUUCAUCUUUAUUAGGUUUAAAGGGUACCUAGACGGUAUUUCUAGCCCAAAAUAGGGUACGGAUUUACUAGAGUUUUAUGUGAGGAGGGGAGUACUCAUGGAGUAGAGAUGAAAUUUUGUUAUACUAUGAGGUAACUGGUGGCGGCGAAAGCAACCUUCUAUGUAUAAACUGACGUUGAGGGACGAAGGCUUGGGUAGCAAAUAGGAUUAGAUACCCUAGUAGUCCAAGCAGACAAUUCUGAAUGCCAUAGAUUAGAUUAUUUUUGGUCUAUAAAUGAAAGUGUAAGCAUUCCACCUUAGGAGUAAUGUGGCAACACAGGAACUGAAAUCAUUAGACCGUUUCUGAAACCAGUAGUGAAGUAUGUUAUUUAAAUUGAUGGUCCACAAAAAACCUUACCACAACUUGAAUAUUUUUUUAAUUAAUACAAGCGUUGCACGGCUGUCUUCAGUUAAUGUCGUGAGAUUUUGGUUAACUCCAUUAAUUAACGUAAACCCUUACUUU